AAAGGAUGUGGAUGGAAUCCCACCGUGUGUCACAUGUAUCCUGGGAUCUCUAGUGUCUCUUCAGGUCCCUUGGGUCAGACAGAGGUGCCUGGCCCCCUCUGCAUUGUCAGGCUUUCUGUCCUUGAAGUCUAACGUUAUAAUGAAUUCCAAGAGUCAGGCUUUUUGCCCCUAAAAUAAAUUUAUUUCUCAGAUCUAUGUCCCAGUUGCCUUGAAACAAACCAGCCCUUGUGAGGCAGGAAGCAGGGGGCCUCUGUGAGGGAGUCUUACCUGGAAGAGAGCGCCCCUCUGACCUUAGACCUCUCUCCAGAGCUUCAGAGCAGAGACAAGAGCCCAGAAAGGAGCAGAUGCUAGAUUUGCAAGAUCAGAAGCAGGUCUUGAUCCUCCUGCCCAGAAUGAACCAGACUUGAUGAUGAUGCCACCUUCAGGAGCCACCACACUGUGUGACAGUGGGGCAUUUGGGCCGUCCCUGGGAAGUACAGAUGCGCUGCUGUCACACAUGUCCACCACCACAUGUGACAUUAGUGACGUUAUCCUGAUGUCACAGGAUCCAAGAAUGAUGAUCUGUGAAGAGUUCUCCAAGGUCACCUACUUCUAACUCUUUUGAAAGAUUUAAAGACAUUGGGCCUGAAAAUUUCAGUGACUUGUCCAGGGAAACGCAGUUUGUGACAGUUCACUCUCUCACAGCUGAACCACAGUCCUCUGUACUCGCCCAGGAGCCACAGAAAGUGAACAUCCCUCAGAAUUUUGAAUAUCUCAUUCUACCUUCUCAUAUCCUGUAAAGAUUCUGCUGAGAAAUCUCCUGAAAGUUU